AGUCGUAACAAGGUAUCCGUAGGUGAACCUGCGGAUGGAUCAUUAACAAAGGUGUAUUUGAAGUUGUGUGAACAGUUGGAGGUGGUGGUGGUGGUGGUAUUGGGUGGUACUGGGUGGUAUUGGGUGGUAUUGGGUGGUAUUGAGUGGUAUUGAGUGGUGUAACCUUGGUCUAACCUUGGUCAACCUCACUCAACCUCACUCAACCUCACUCAACCUCACUCUCCCAACCUCCACCACUCCGUCCCUAUAAUGUAUACAAACUGAUGUCUGCUAGUUUCAAACUAAAACAACUUUUAGCAACGGAUCUCUUGGCUCUC
rnacentral:misc_RNA from 1 species